UACGGAGGGUGCAAGCGUUAUCCGGAUUCACUGGGUUAAGGGUGCGUAGGUGGGCAGUUAAGUCAGUGGUGAAAUCUCCCGGCUCAACUGGGAGGGUGCGCCGAAAACUGGAGUGCUGGAGCGCGGGAGAGGAAAGCGGAAUUCCUGGUGUAGCGGUGAAAUGCGUAGAUAUCGAGGAGGAACACCGGUGGUGUAGACGGCUCUCUGGACCGUAACUGACGCUGAGACGACGAAAGCGUGGGUAGCAAACAGG
rnacentral:rRNA from 1 species